rnacentral:rRNA from 1 species
AGUGAACGCUGGCGGUAGGCCUAACACAUGCAAGUCGAACGGCAGCACAGUAAGAGCUUGCUCUUACGGGUGGCGAGUGGCGGACGGGUGAGGAAUACAUCGGAAUCUACUUUUUCGUGGGGGAUAACGUAGGGAAACUUACGCUAAUACCGCAUACGACCUACGGGUGAAAGCAGGGGAUCCUCGGACCUUGCGCGAUUGAAUGAGCCGAUGUCGGAUUAGCUAGUUGGCGGGGUAAAGGCCCACCAAGGCGACGAUCCGUAGCUGGUCUGAGAGGAUGAGCAGCCACACUGGAACUGAGACACGGUCCAGACUCCUACGGGAGGCAGCAGUGGGGAAUAUUGGACAAUGGGCGCAAGCCUGAUCCAGCCAUACCGCGUGGGUGAAGAAGGCCUUCGGGUUGUAAAGCCCUUUUGUUGGGAAAGAAAAGCAGCAGGUUAAUACCCCGCUGUUCUGACGGUACCCAAAGAAUAAGCACCGGCUAACUUCGUG